rnacentral:rRNA from 1 species
GACGAACGCUGGCGGCGCGCUUAACACAUGCAAGUCGAACGGAAAGGCCCUGCUUGCAGGGUGCUCGAGUGGUGAACGGGUGAGUAACACGUGGGUGAUCUGCCCCUUACUUUGGGAUAAGCCUGGGAAACUGGGUCUAAUACUGGAUAGGACCAUGCUGUAGGUGGUGUGGUGGAAAGAUUAGUUUCGGUAAGGGAUGAGCUCGCGGCCUAUCAGCUUGUUGGUGGGGUAAUGGCCUACCAAGGCGUCGACGGGUAGCCGGCCUGAGAGGGUGGACGGCCACAUUGGGACUGAGAUACGGCCCAGACUCCUACGGGAGGCAGCAGUGGGGAAUAUUGCACAAUGGGCGCAAGCCUGAUGCAGCGACGCCGCGUGGGGGAUGACGGCCUUCGGGUUGUAAACUCCUUUCAGCCAUGACGAAGCCCUUGUGGUGACGGUAGUGGUAGAAGAAGCACCGGCUAACUACGUG